CUUUGAUGCUGUAUUCUUAGCACAUGGAACCCUAAACCAAAGCCUGCACUGGGGCAUUUGUGAGAAGCGUGUGUGCAAAGCCUGAGAGACUCCCCUUUUGGGCAUGCUGCUGGGCAGGGGUGUUCUGGUUUGACUUUGUACAGGUCAGGCCAUCUCAAACUUGUGGCUGCAGCUGUCACUUAGAGUCGCACACCUCCUGAAUUGUUAGAUGUGGCCAGGUGACAAAGUUCUGUACAGUGGAAUGUAAACAGAAGUAUCAUGUGAGAGUUUCCAAGAACUUUUUCAGGAGGGAGGAAACACAUGUCCUUUGGUUGGCAGUUUUGGAGUUUGCCCACCAGAUAUGCCAUCCAAGAAGACCAAAAGUACAGCAGGAUGAUUGUGAACAAGACCAGGGACCUCAGCCCUUGCAAAAAAAGGUUGAAGACUAUGUACAUGAACGACAUUCUAGGCUAUCCUCAGCCUUCUGCCAUGUGAGGAUGUGGCACAAAGGUGC
rnacentral:lncRNA from 10 species